AAUAUUCCAGGCGAAAUUAAAGGUGCAAUCUAACUGUCAAAAGCCCAUAACAAUAAAUAAAAUAUUCCCACCUGAACACCAAUAAAAUAUCAGAUAUUUCCAUUUUAGUAUAUACUUUUACAAAUUAGCCGCAAAAUCAUUAAAAAAAAAACUCAACACUAAUCUCACCGUUUGCUAAAUCAAAACAUAGUUAUGCUCAGCCCGUGAGCUCUCCUCUCUAUGUGGACUUGUUCUUCGUGUCUUUCUUUCGCGCUCUGCUAAACUUUAUAAAGAUUCUUUGAAAAGCUAUACUGUACUUCGCUACGUCCGAGUUUAGUUGCGGUUCGAGCUAUGUCGGAGUCUCAGACAGCUCCCAGGAGCCAGCCGCAGUCUUCAAGCUCCUCUGGUUUUGGUUUUUGUUUCGCUUCAAGGAUUUGCAUUUUGUGUACAAUAGAGUAUGGUUUUAACAUAAAGUGGGAGUAAUAUGAAUCAGGAAAGAAGCAAGCUUUGAUAUCUUUAUCUGACAAGCAGGCCUGCCCUGAGAUUUGGGGACACUUGGAUGUGUCUAUGUAAAAUUUUUUUUUAAAAAAUUUGGGGACUUAAAUUUUUUUUUUCAAAAGCCUAUUUAUAUAUAAGUUUUUUCAAAAACUUUGAGUCCUGUUGGGCAUGUUUCACCUAGCAUGGUGCAAGGCCAGCCCUGACAAGAAGGAUUUGGUUACUCUUGGCAAUGGUCUGCAAGAGUUGGGGUAUGUCUUAGUCACAACUUGAGUUAGGUUUUUUUUUUUCAUCUCUAGAUACACUAUUGUUUCUAUCGGAGGAACUGCCACUACGUCGACAUGGAUGAUCCUGCUAUCAUUAGACCAGCUGCCAAGAACCACAAAGACGUUCUCGUUGUCGUCGAUUCAGAUGAUUAUCAAGCUGUUCUGGAGUAUCUCAAAGGGAGGACAGAGCGACCAACAGUUCCGCAGAAAUACUCCUAAAGGUCUUGAAGUCCUCAAAGGGAAGUCCAAAACUCUGAGGAUACUCGAGGCUAAAAAGAAUGACCAAGGGAAGCUAUCGCUCAGACAAGUUGGUGGCGGCUGGUUAUGUCAAGACUUUGACGACAUAACUCCGGAAGACGAUCAGUUUCAGCUCUGUCUCGGUUAAGACUCCGACUGAAAGUGAACUUGCGGAUGCCAAAUUUUCUUGGCUUUGUGUUAAGUAUGUCAAGAGCAAUGCCAUAGUGAUAGCAAAGGUUAGACGUUUUUUGGCCAAUGCAUGUGUAAUGACAAAGAUUCAUUGGUGCUGCUAAAAGUUUUGAUUCUUGUUGUUUGGGCGUAUGAAUCACAGCUUGGAAAGAUGCGGUGGAAGAGGCGUGUGAAAGGGGAAUAGGAGCGAUAGCUGAACCUGGAGGGAAUAUUAGAGACCAAGACAACAAGUAUGGAGUCUCUCUGCUCUUCACCAACGUUAGACACAUUUCUGCCAUUGAUGAUGGAUCACUACAGUUUUGCUCUUAUAAAGACUUCCAAGAGACUCUGAAGACGUAGUGGUUCCAUGUAGUUUGUUUCUGGUUGUAGGCAAGAAACCUCACCAAACAAAAACAAGAUUGGGAAAAUGAUGUAAUAUUGUUUUGAACGC